GCGCACGCAGGCGGUCUGUUAAGUCAGAUGUGAAAUCCCCGAGCUUAACUUGGGAACAGCAUUUGAAACUGGCAGGCUAGAGUCUCGUAGAGGGGGGUAGAAUUCCAGGUGUAGCGGUGAAAUGCGUAGAGAUCUGGAGGAAUACCGGUGGCGAAGGCGGCCCCCUGGACGAAGACUGACGCUCAGGUGCGAAAGCGUGGGGAGCAAACAGGAUUAGAUACCCUGGUAGUCCACGCUGUAAACGAUGUCGACUUGGAGGUUGUGGUCUUGAACCGUGGCUUCCGGAGCUAACGCGUUAAGUCGACCGCCUGGGGAGUACGGCCGCAAGGUUAAAACUCAAAUGAAUUGACGGGGGCCCGCACAAGCGGUGGAGCAUGUGGUUUAAUUCGAUGCAACGCGAAGAACCUUACCUACUCUUGACAUCCUCAGAAGAGACUGGAGACAGUCUUGUGCCUUCGGGAACUGAGAGACAGGUGCUGCAUGGCUGUCGUCAGCUCGUGUUGUGAAAUGUUGGGUUAAGUCCCGCAACGAGCGCAACCCUUAUCCUUUGUUGCCAGCGAUUUGGUCGGGAACUCAAAGGAGACUGCCGGUGAUAAACCGGAGGAAGGUGGGGAUGACGUCAAGUCAUCAUGGCCCUUACGAGUAGGGCUACACACGUGCUACAAUGGCGCAUAUAAAGAGAAGCGAGCCUGCGAGGGUGAGCGGACCUCAUAAAGUGCGUCGUAGUCCGGAUUGGAGUCUGCAACUCGACUCCAUGAAGUCGGAAUCGCUAGUAAUCGUAGAUCAGAAUGCUACGGUGGAUACGUUCCCGGGCCUUGUACACACCGCCCGUCACACCAUGGGAGUGGGUUGCAAAAGAAGUAGGUAGC
rnacentral:rRNA from 1 species